rnacentral:rRNA from 1 species
UACGGGGGAGCAAGCGUUGUUCGGAUUUACUGGGCGUAAAGGGCGCGUAGGCGGUCAGCACAAGUCAGUUGUGAAAUCUCCGGGCUUAACUCGGAAAGGUCAACUGAUACUGUGCGACUAGAGUGCAGAAGGGGCAACUGGAAUUCUCGGUGUAGCGGUGAAAUGCGUAGAUAUCAGGAAGAACACCCGUGGCGAAGGCGGCUCUCUGGGACGGUACUGACGCUGAGACGCGAAAGCGUGGGGAGCGAACAGG